GAGUCGUCAAUCAAAACAGCACGAACAAAUUCUCAAGUCGUUAAAUCAGCCAAAACGAGAGACGCAAGGAUUCCAUAAUGAUGGUCUGGGGCAGAUUUCUGUUCCUGUUUCAGGAUCAUUUGUCAAUCUAAUAGGCACACGAUGACGCCGACGCUGUGACUUUUUGGGCUAAGGCAGGCCAGUUUCCUCGCGAUGUUUUCCAUUUGAAGGAAUGUGAAAUAGGUGCAUAGUCGGUGAUCCAACCUAUGCCCUCAGGAAUUAUAGUCAUACGAUAAAGCUGCUAGGCCAUACACCGCUUACAUUAACAAAAACGUUUCAAACCACGACAUAGUUAUAUGAUGGCGAAUUUACAGUAAAGAAUUCUGAUAAAUAUUA